GAUUACCAUUACUUUGACAUGAUUUUAGGCAUAGUUUCAUCUGAAUGAAUGAGUUAAAAUGAGUUAAUUAUGUUCCAAAGGCCACUCUCAAGCCUGCAGUUAGAAAUAUCGAAGAAUUUAAUAGGCUUCAUCGUGAACUAAUAUUCUUUAUGAAGAGACACUGUUUAUACCAAUUGUGUGACAUAUCCCCUACCCAGUUCUUUAAGAUAAUUCUGGAAACAAAUGAGUUUCUUGUCAACAUCCAGGCAAACUCUUCCACAUAGACUUUGGAUAUAUUUUGGGUCGGGAUCCGAAGCCUCUUCCUCCACCAAUGAAGCUGAAUAAAGAAAUGGUAGAAGGAAUGGGGGGCACACAGAGUGAGCAGUACCAAGAGUUCCGUAAACAGUGUUACACGGCUUUCCUCCACCUGCGAAGGUUGUCACUCUGUCGCCCAGGUUGGAGUGCAGUGGCAUGACCAUGGUUCACUGCAGUCUUGACUUCCCGGGCUCAGAUGAUCCUUCCACCUCAGCCUUGCAGGUAUUCUAAUCUGAUUUUGAACUUGUUUUCCUUGAUGGUUGAUGCAAACAUUCCAGAUAUUGCACUUGAACCAGAUAAAACUGUGAAAAAGGUUCAGGAUAAAUUCCGUUUAGA
rnacentral:sRNA from 1 species